UACGGAGGAUCCAAGCGUUAUCCGGAAUCAUUGGGUUUAAAGGGUCCGUAGGCGGUUUGGUAAGUCAGUGGUGAAAGCCCAUCGCUCAACGGUGGAACGGCCAUUGAUACUGCCAGACUUGAAUUAUUAGGAAGUAACUAGAAUAUGUAGUGUAGCGGUGAAAUGCUUAGAGAUUACAUGGAAUACCAAUUGCGAGGGCAGGUUACUACUAAUGGAUUGACGCUGAUGGACGAAAGCGUGGGUAGCGAACAGG
rnacentral:rRNA from 1 species